UUGGAGGGCAAGUCUGGUGCCAGCAGCCGCGGUAAUUCCAGCUCCAAUAGCGUAUAUUAAAGUUGUUGCAGUUAAAAAGCUCGUAGUUGAACCUUGGCUCUGGCUGGCCGGUCCGCCUCACCGCGAGUACUGGUCCGGCUGGAGCUUUCCUUCUGGGGAACCUCAUGGCCUUCACUGGCUGUGGGGGGAACCAGGACUUUUACUGUGAAAAAAUUAGAGUGUUCAAAGCAGGCCUUUGCUCGAAUACAUUAGCAUGGAAUAAUAGAAUAGGACGUGUGGUUCUAUUUUGUUGGUUUCUAGGACCGCCGUAAUGAUUAAUAGGGAUAGUCGGGGGCGUCAGUAUUCAGCUGUCAGAGGUGAAAUUCUUGGAUUUGCUGAAGACUAACUACUACGAAAGCAUUCGCCAAGGAUGUUUUCAUUAAUCAGGGAACGAAAGUUAGGGGAUCGAAGACGAUCAGAUACCGUCGUAGUCUUAACCAUAAACUAUGCCGACUAGGGAUCGGACGGGAUUCUAUGAUGACCCGUUCGGCGCCUUACGGGAAAC
rnacentral:rRNA from 1 species